rnacentral:rRNA from 1 species
CUUAAGCGGAGGAAAAGAAACCAACAGGGAUUACCUUAGUAACGGCGAGUGAAGCGGUAAAAGCUCAAAUUUGAAAUCUUCGGAAUUGUAAUUUGAUGGGGAAUUUGGAACUUCUUGGAAUCAAGUGUAUUGGAAUAUACCGCCAUUGAGGGUGAUAGCCCCGUAAUCCUUUUGUUCAUAUACAAGUUCUUCCGUAGAGUCGGGUUGUUUGGGAAUGCAACUCAAAGUGGGUGGUAAAUUCCAUCUAAAGCUAAAUAUUGGCGAGAGACCGAUAGCGAACAAGUACAGUGAUGGAAAGAUGAAAAGCACUUUGAAAAGAGAGUGAAAUAGUACGUGAAAUUGUUGAAAGGGAAGGGAUUAAAGGAGGCUAAGGCGGGUUUCGCCGGGGUGGGACAAACAGAAACACAAGGCAUUUGCUGAGUGCUCGAUAUACCACUACCGCAGAAUUCGUCUCUCUACUUUUUUAAUUCACCCGUCUUGAAAC